rnacentral:lncRNA from 1 species
UACUAUGUAACACAAUGGGCACCUAGUAAGUUUUGUUGGAUCAAAUGAACACUCACAUUGUCCAAUAUUCUCAUUGAAGAUGCAUCUUAACCUCUUUAGGAUUUUCACAGGGAAGGAGUUCCACAUGAACAGCCUGUUCUGGAAUGAGUGGUGAUGAGAUGGGAUGAGAGCAUUUUCUCAGUGUUUCUCAAAUGGUACCGUGCAGACCCUUGGGUAUCAACUCAGCCCCAUCACCAAAACCAAUAGUGGUUGGAAACUCAAGGAACAGGAACUUUGGGGAAGCUGAGAAGAAGGGCAGCUGGGGCCUGACUUCAUUCUCUCAGGAUUCCCUUCCUGUGAGCCUCUGGUUAUUCUAUCCUGAAUGCAAGGCAGAUAUGGAGAGGUUCUGAGUCAGGGCCCAAAGCUGAACUAUAUAGAACCAGAGUACUGUUUCCUAGAACAGAUAAAGAAGACCUUAUUACCUCAGACCUCUCAAGAGGUAUCAAUAGAGAAUUUGAUGGGGGCCCUGGUUGGAAG